GUUUUUAUAGUUUAAAAAAAACAUUGGUCUUGUAAACCAAAAUUAAAAUAAAAUUUUAGAAACA
rnacentral:tRNA from 1 species